GUGGAUGGAAAUUGCUGUGGAGAGUGAACAACGCAGAACGGUGGCAUCUAUAUAGAUAUAUAGAUAUAGAUCUAGACAUAGAUAUAUAUCUAUAUCUCGAGGUUAAGUUCAGAUCUUACUCCUCGUGAUGUUCCGACUGGAUGUGAAGCUUCUCCGGCUGUUUGCAGCGAUCCUGUUCUUUAGGAUAUUAGCCAACAUCAGCAUGUGUGACUGCUCAGGUGCUGGAGCUCUGAUGCUGUUGUCCACCAGGGGGUGAACGUUGGUCACCACGCUGUAGUGUUCAUCUUCACCGUCGUCGCAUUCGUCGUGACAGUGCAGCAGCAGGGAGAACGUCAGCUCCACCAAGACAAAGUCUUUCUCCAUCAUAGGCCUGAUCCUUCUGCUCGGGAUCACCUGGGCUUUUGCAUUCUUCAGCCGUGGACCUCUGCUCAUGGCCUCCUACUACAGCUUCACCAUCCUCAACUCCUUUCAAGGUCCACUCCAAAUGUAACCAGGCCUUCAGACCUGCACUCAAAUCGUCUGCUUUACUCUUCAUUCAGUACAAAACGUCAGUUCCAGCAGGAAGAGCAGCUCCACGGCGACACAAGCAGCGCGUCUACAGACACAAUUACAUUGACACUGCAAGUGCUUUUCAAAUGAAGUGAGGAAGUGUUGCCCUCAUUUUGACACAAGAGGGCAGCGUUUUAUUGUAGCUGUUAACAUGAUGUGCUGGUAAAUAGCUGAGAAAACGUUUUCCCUUCUUCCCCUUGACUCUGUAUUACAUCCGUUGACUAAAUGACUAACGAGUCGCGGGAUGACAGACUUGAUGGAGUCAUUUCCUGGAAGUGGUUUUAUUGUGAUGACUCAGCAGAGGCCUUUUCCCGCUUGCUUGUAAAGCGUGCAGUUGAAGGUUGUGAUUGACUGACAGAACACAUCACGCGUAGUCGUACACGACGCGUAACCCUUAACCCCUAACUCUAGAAAAGAGUUAACCCUUUAUGCCAUAUGGCCCCGAAGACGGCGAAGUCCUGCCUCUCACACUUUGGCCGGCGUUGGGGGGGCCGAGCUAUCCAGCUUCGCGUGCCUGCAGAUAAUUACCACGGGCCCACAGAGAGCCGUAUCCACUGUGCGGGGAACCUCGCAAGAAAUGAGCUCAUGGCUACCUAUAGUGAUAAGAGGCCCGGAGGCUGUUACAGCUGCUCUCAGAAAUAAUGUUGCACGUUUAUGCAGUUUAGUACCAGAAAGCAAGCGGCAAACUGCAUUAGUUUGAUGACCAGCAGUCUUUGGGAACGAUUAACGGGCUAAUGAAAUGUGCAAUAUUCUUACUCCAUGACAGAUUGCAUCUUAAAGCG
ensembl:lncRNA